rnacentral:rRNA from 1 species
UACAGAGGUCUCAAGCGUUGUUCGGAUUCAUUGGGCGUAAAGGGUGCGUAGGCGGCGCGGUAAGUCGGGUGUGAAAUCUCGGAGCUUAACUCCGAAACUGCAUUCGAUACUGCCGUGCUUGAGGACUGGAGAGGAGACUGGAAUUUACGGUGUAGCGGUGAAAUGCGUAGAUAUCAAGUGGAACACCAGUGGCGAAGGCGAGUCCCUGGACAUUUCCUGACACUGAGGCACGAAAGCUAGGGGAGCAAACAGG